rnacentral:rRNA from 1 species
UUCAUGGAGAGUUUGAUCCUGGCUCAGGACGAACGCUGGCGGCGUGCCUAAUACAUGCAAGUCGAGCGAAUCAAUAGGAGCUUGCUCCUGUUGGUUAGCGGCGGACGGGUGAGUAACACGUGGGCAACCUGCCUGUAAGACUGGGAUAACAACGGGAAACCGGUGCUAAUACCGGAUAAUCCUUUUUCUCUCAUGAGGAAAAGCUGAAAGUCGGUUUCGGCUGACACUUACAGAUGGGCCCGCGGCGCAUUAGCUAGUUGG